GUUAGGAAUCUUCCACAAUGGGGGCAACCCUGAUGGAGCAACACCGCGUGCUGGAUGAAGGCCUUCGGGUCGUAAACAGCUUUUGUAUACGAAGAAUAUGACGGUAAUAUACGAAUAAGGGUCGGCUAACUACGUGCCAGCAGCCGCGGUCAUACGUAGGACCCAAGCGUUAUCCGGAGUGACUGGGCGUAAAGAGUUGCGUAGGCGGCUUAUUAAGCGAGUAGUGAAAUCUGGUGGCUCAACCAUCAACACAUUGCUCGAACUGAUAGGCUUGAGAAUGGUAGAGGUAGUUGGAAUUUCUUGUGUAGGAGUGAAAUCCGUAGAUAUAAGAAGGAACACCAAUGGCGUAGGCAGACUACUGGACCAUUUCUGACGCUGAGGCACGAAAGCGUGGGGAGCGAACCGGAUUAGAAACCCCUGUAGUCC
rnacentral:rRNA from 1 species